rnacentral:lncRNA from 1 species
UCCAUAAUUAAAAAAUCCUUACACAAAUGGGUGUGGCAAUGUUGGGACAUAAAACAAUGAAACAAGAAAAUGGAUGGUGUUUCCUUUCGAGCACUCUCACUUGCGUUCAACCAUGGGAAUUACUAUGUCGAUAUGCCAGCUUUUAGACUCUCACUCCAAACUUUAAUUUUGAACAUCACAUUGAGGACUUCUGUGAAGGGCUGUAGUGCUUAGAUGAGUACUGGUGUUGCAGCCUCUUCACCUCAUUCGCAUGUUUAUGUUUGAGUAUACGGUAUACCAUGGUAAAAAGCCGUUUAAAGAUCCUAUCUGAGCUUAAACGUGUAAAAGUGGACAACUAGAUUCUGAUGGUGUAUUGUUGUGGAAAGUAUGUUAUAAAAAAAUGAGAUUGAAAUGUUCUCUCUCUUUUUGAUUCAUAUCUUCGUGAUUUAUUUUAAAGAAGAUUUUUUUUUUCGUUGACUCUUUCAAUUUGGAAUAUAGGUGGAUGAAACUAUCAGAUACUGAGCUUCUUCCUGAGGAUGUUAUCUCAAUUGGCUGUUCUACUAAUCAAAGUGGAGAAGACAACUCUGUACUUGCAGAUAGGGAAUGUUAUCAUUAAUGAAGCUAUUUCAACUGGCAAGUAAACCCUUCAAUGGAAGGUGGUAUUCUAUUCUUUUUUUUUCUUCAUUUCAUUUUCUUUUAGAAUAAAAGUUCCCAUCAUUAUCCACGACUUCUAAAAUUCUUGGUGUUAUGAUAAAUUCCAUGUGUCUUAUAUGGAAAAAUUGAUAUGAUAUUUUCUUGAUUACAUCAUAU